GGUCUGUUAUUCUUCGUACUUGAAAUUCUAAAAAUCUCAAAAAAUAUUAUCAAUAAAAAUAUUCUAACGAGUCCUUUCUCAUAUGUCAUGUUUUUUUUUUAUCGAAAUUCUAAUUUCAGUCCGGUAAGACCCCAAAGGGCAUACACAUUAAUCUGAAUUUUGAUCCGAUAAAGUCUUGAAGGGUAUACACAUUAAUGUGGAUUCUAGUCUGGUAAAGCCUCGGAGGGCAUACAUAUCAAUCCAAAUUUCAGUUCGGUAAAGUUUCAAAGUGCAUACACAUUAAUCUGGAUUCCAGUCCGGUAAAGUCCUGAAGGGCAUACAUAUUAAUCUAAAUUUCGAUCCGAUAA
rnacentral:lncRNA from 1 species